UACGUAGGGGGCUAGCGUUGUCCGGAAUCAUUGGGCGUAAAGAGCGUGUAGGCGGUCCGGUAAGUCCGCUGUGAAAGUCGGGGGCUCAACCCUCGAAUGCCGGUGGAUACUGUCGGGCUAGAGUGCGGAAGAGGCGAGUGGAAUUCCUGGUGUAGCGGUGAAAUGCGCAGAUAUCAGGAGGAACACCAAUGUGAAGGCAGCUCGCUGGGACGUAACUGACGCUGAGACGCGAAAGCGUGGGGAGCAAACAGG
rnacentral:rRNA from 1 species